rnacentral:rRNA from 1 species
UACGUAGGUGGCAAGCGUUGUCCGGAUUUAUUGGGUUUAAAGGGUGCGUAGGCGGUGACUUAAGUCAGUUGUGAAAUACGGCAGCUUAACUGUCGAGGUGCAAUUGAUACUGGGACACUUGAGUACUGAUGAGGUAAGCGGAAUGGACGGUGUAGCGGUGAAAUGCUUAGAUAUCGUCCAGAACACCGAUAGCGAAGGCAGCUUACUAAGGAGUAACUGACGCUGAGGCACGAAAGUGUGGGGAUCAAACAGG